AUGGAGCUGCUCUACAACACGGCGCUGCUGCAGCCCCGGAUGGUGGCCUACUGGGCCAAGAUCCCCGUGGUGCGCGCCGCCAUGCUCGCCCACCCGGAGGCCGAGUGGGUCUGGUGGCUCGACGCCGACGCCGUCAUCACCGACAUGGACUUCGCGCCCCCGCUCGCCACCAGGUAUAAGGAUUACAACCUCGUCGUCCACGGCUGGGACAGGGAGGUGUACGAGGCCAGCAUGGGCCCGGCCUCGCCGGAGUACGCGCGAUGGGGGAAGACCCUCAAGGCCACGCUCAGCGACAAGCCCGACGACCAGUCCGCGCUGGCAUACCUGCUGCUCAAGAACCCCAAAAAAUGGGGCGCCAGGACCUACCUGGAGCACGAGUACUACUUCCAGGGAUACUGGGCGGAGAUCGUGGACAAGCUCGACGGCGUCGCGGCGCGGCGGUUUGGGCCCGCGCUCCGGCGGCGGCACGCCGAGGGGGAGCAAGCGCUCAAGCCCAACGAGAUCUACUCCAACGAGAGCUGCGCCGAGGGGAUGCGCCGCGCGCUCAACCUCGCCGACGACCAGGUGCUCCGCGCCUACGGCUUCCGCCACGCCGGUCCGCUCAAGGGCGACGUGCGCCCGCUCUAG
rnacentral:rRNA from 1 species